rnacentral:rRNA from 1 species
GAGUUUGAUCAUGGCUCAGAGUGAACGCUGGCGGCAGGCCUAACACAUGCAAGUCGAACGGCAGCACAGCAGUAGCAAUACUGUGGGUGGCGAGUGGCGGACGGGUGAGGAAUACAUGGGAAUCUACCCUGUCGUGGGGGAUAACGUAGGGAAACUUACGCUAAUACCGCAUACGGCCGAGAGGUGAAAGCGGCGGACCGCAAGGCGUCGCGCGAUUGGAUGAGCCCAUGUCGGAUUAGCUAGUUGGCGGGGUAAAGGCCCACCAAGGCGACGAUCCGUAGCUGGUCUGAGAGGAUGAUCAGCCACACUGGAACUGAGACACGGUCCAGACUCCUACGGGAGGCAGCAGUGGGGAAUAUUGGACAAUGGGCGCAAGCCUGAUCCAGCCAUGCCGCGUGAGUGAAGAAGGCCUUCGGGUUGUAAGC